rnacentral:SRP_RNA from 1 species
GCUGGGCGCGGUGGCUCACGCCUGUAAUCCCAGCACUUUAGGAGGCUGAGGCAGGUGGAUCACCUGAGGUCAGGAGUUUGAGACCAGCCUGGCCAACAUGGUGAAACCCUGUCUCUA